rnacentral:misc_RNA from 1 species
GGUCUCUAGUUGUUCACUAGUUGAAGCUCCUUGUUUUGUGUCAGCAUCAUUUACAUGCUUACCGCUGUCAACUCCAGGAGGUAACUCUGGCUGCAACCCUGAAGCAUGGGUUGACUGGCUAGCAGUAGUCGGCACUCCAGGUGGAGCUGCCACUGGGGCUACACCAGGAGGUCUAGUAUCAGGCAAUGUCACUGAAGAGAGAGGUG